rnacentral:rRNA from 1 species
GGAUUUUAAAAGUUGAACAAACUUCUUAUUUUAACUUCUUCAUUAAAAAAGUAUCCUAAUCCAACAUCGAGGUCGCAAACUAUUUUUUCUAUAAGAUCUAUCUAAAAUUAUUACGCUGUUAUCCCUAGAGUAUUUAUUUCAUAAAAUCAUUAUUAAUGGAUCAAAUUUAAGAGUAAAAAGUUAAUUAUUUUUUUUAAUCGCCCCAAUUAAAUAUUUUUUAUUAAAAAAAUUUUAAAUAAAAGAUAUAAAAAUUCAUAGGGUCUUCUUGUCUUUAAUUUUUAUUAUUGUUUCUUCACAAAUAAAAAUAACUUAAAUUUUUAAAUUUAAAAAAGAUUUUUCUUGAAAAUCCAUUCUCUUAGCACUCAAUUAAAAUCUUAUUACAAUACCUUUGUAUAGUCAAAAUA